UACGAAGGGGGCUAGCGUUGCUCGGAAUCACUGGGCGUAAAGGGUGCGUAGGCGGGUCUUUAAGUCCGGGGUGAAAUCCUGGAGCUCAACUCCAGAACUUCCUUUGAUACUGAGGAUCUUGAGUUCGGGAGAGGUGAGUGGAACUGCGAGUGUAGAGGUGAAAUUCGUAGAUAUUCGCAAGAACACCAGUGGCGAAGGCGGCUCACUGGCCCGAUACUGACGCUGAGGCACGAAAGCGUGGGGAGCAAACAGG
rnacentral:rRNA from 1 species